CCGGGUUCUCCUCAGCUUUCGCGCCCGGCCCACUCGGCGGUUAAGGCGGCGGCGUCCGCGGCCCGCGGCGGAGAGAAGCGCGGCGGCGGCUGCGGCUGUAGCGGCCGCGGCCCGCGCCGAGGCCGGACGUCUCCUUGGGAGAGGUUUAACCGUGUGAGGACUGGAGUUCUCCGGGCCGCUGCGACUCCUCAGCCGCGCGGGCGCCGGCGCCACGCCUCGGGUCAGUCACGACGCGUGAGGAAAAUCCUCCAUGUCCGGGAUGGGAGGCUGGUGAUGCUGGGAAGGAGCCCUUCUGCCACCGCUUCUGUCGGUGUCCGGGUGACUGGACCGGUUUUCGUCCUUCCGUUUACCUCCCGAGACGACUGAGACCUGCGCUUGCUUAGAAAGAAGAGAUGACGACACUGAUUAGCCCAAAAUCAUGGAGCUGGAAAGUGAGCCAAGACUCAAAUCCAUGACUGCCUGCUAUAGGCGGAAAUUUUAAGUAAAUAACUGGAGAAAACUUAAAGGACAUUCAGAAAUAAGUAACAACAAAUGUAUAUGUUAACAUUUUUUAAUGAAAUUUAGUAUUCUGAGAUUUUAUUUGAAUGGUUCAAAGUGUUAGGUAUAUUGUGGUUGCUUAUGGGAGGCUUCCUGAAGGAAGUAGAUUUUGAGCUAGUGGGUUUUUGUUUUGUUUUUGUUUUUGAAUCUGUUUUAAUAAUAAGAGGAUAUUAUAUAUGAUAAUAAUAUGAUCCCUGAUAUACUGGGACUAGCAGACCAGUUAAAGAAACAAGAGGUAAGGAGCCAUUAAUUUCAUUUUGAAAAUGGCACACAGAAAUCCUUCUUCCACUUUCCUAAUGUUGCCACCUAAGCAAAACAUAUGUAUCCCAGAAUAUACUAUAAGUAUUCAGUUGGUCAGAGCUAAAAAUAAACAAUUUUGAGAAGCAACAAUGUUUCAUCAUGGCUGAGUUAGUGAUCAGGAGGGUCAACUCCCAAUGGGAAACCAUUAGUAAUGAUUUAUUCCAAGAAUCAGUUCCACAGUUCCAGGUACUCUAGUGGUAUAUGAUACUCCAAGCCAGUUUUCAACUUCAAACUCUUUGUUUGUAGUUACAUCAUAGUUUCUUGUUGAAGAAGACAAAGGCUUGACUGCAUGGGAACUAACAUGCAAAUUAAAAGUGAAAACAUUCUUCCAAAAAUCUGGAGAGGCCAAAAAAAAAAAAAAUUCAGAUUUUUUUAAACAUCCAGAUUUCAUCAAGGUAUUGUGCAUCUGUGUGUAGUGGAAAGAGCCAGAAAAUCUUGGGAACCAAUUGCACAGGCUAGAUCUCAGUUGGCACGUAUGUAAAAUGAAGUUAUGUCUGAUGGUCUCCACUGGCCUUAUAUUGUAUGCCUGUGAUGAAAUAUGGUCUUAGUCCAUUAAGUUAUAUGCAUAAUUGAAGCUAGAAAUCAA